UUUUUUGGAACACCCCUUAAAAGAAAAAUAAACUUGGACACCUCACUAUUCUGUCACAACCCUCUCCCUCUCGUCUCCUCUCCCUCACAACCCUCUCCUCCCUAGUCUUUCACUCUAUACCUAAUUUUGAAAGCUUAAGACUAUACCGAUCACCGACAAAGUAGCAAAAUCAGAACCCUUGACCCCAAUCUCAAAGAAACCAAAGUUUCUGUAGAAGUAACCAUCGAAUCGAAUGCUUUAGGAGGAACAGAGUCAUCUUGCAACAACAACAAGAUUGAGCAGCAGUAUAUACUAUUUUAAGGUUCCAUUUUUGCUUAUGGGUCUCAAUGAUUUUGAUCUAUCAAUAAUUGUGGAUAAUCUUUAAUUCAUUAGUUUAUUAUGUUUUAUGGGGUUUCUUUAAUUAGAGUAGUUAUUUUAAUAAUGGGGAUCAAAUAAUGUUGUAGGUGUUAAAUUGUCAAUACCAUGUUGUUUCCAAUUGAUAAUAUAUAAAUGUUACUAAUUAUUUUAUUUUUUUUGUUUGUACUUUGUUUUGAUAGAUGUGGUAGUGUAUUGAUUUUCUUCAUUUAUUUUGUUGAUUUGUUUAUUGAGCUUAUUUAAUUGUUUUUGAAUUUCGCUAUUGUCACCCUCAAUUAUCUUGUUUAUUAUAUUCACAAGUUGUUUUUACUUGUACUUUGAGAAGAUGAGUACCGAGUGUAUGGAUUAUAUGAAUUUAUGAAUGUCUAGUAGUUUUGAUUGGGUGUUUAAUCAAUUAGUUACGGCAAGAAAUUGUCCUUUUCUUAAUACAAAAAAGUCAACAGAAUUAAGGGGUUUAUUUUUUUUCCGCUCGAAAAUCCAAAUUAAGUUAAAUGUUCUUCAUGUUAUUUCUAAUCAUAUUGAACACAGAUAUACAACAAAAUAGCUACAUGUUUUGAGUUUAACAAGGGUUUUUUAUCUGCUGCAACUUAAAGAAAAGAGUUGAGCUGAUACUGAUAAACAAAUUUUAUGAACAUGAGCUCGCCAAUAUGUAUAUAUAUAUAUACAUGUAAACCCAACUUGCUUAAAUCUCUCCCCCAACUCCAAAAUAACCCAAAAAAACANNNNNNNNNNNNNNNNNNNNNNNNNNNNNNNNNNNNNNNNNNNNNNNNNNNNNNNNNNNNNNNNNNNNNNNNNNNNNNNNNNNNNNNNNNNNNNNNNNNNCUCCUUUUAGUUCUGGCUGCGUUUUCACAUAAACAGAGGUGGGUUACUAGUUUCUUGAUUAUUGUGUUCUGAGUUUCUACUGAAUUCAAAUUUUAUACUCGAUUUUUUUAUAAAAAAAAAUCAAUUGAUGAGCUGUGUUUUGGUGAAAAACAUGUUUCUAUAUCAAAAAAGUAAAGGUUUUAUUUUUCCUUCCAGCUUUUUACACUCAGGUCUGUUUUUUUUUUUUGUGCAACUCCUGAAGAUUAGUAAUCCAUUUUCUCUAAGUUGUAAGGUAAGGAAGAAGAAAGUUGGAGCAGGCCCUUGUUCAUUUCUUGGUGUAAUUUCAUAUAGGGAUUUUCUCGAGAGCUCGAAUUAAAGCUGAGCGCCCAUGUCACACAGAUACUAAUAUACCAUUUCUUUUGGUGGACUAGUCGUUAUUUGUUAAUUUUGGUUGCAACAUCAGUUAAUUCUUAUUUGCUUUAUGAAACUUACUGUUUUCUAGUUAGGUUUUGAUUACAAGAUCAUUUUCAGGCAUUAAUUUCAUGGGAUUGUAAUUAAUUUAGUCUUGUUGUAUAGUUUUGGCUCUAUGGGUAUAUGCUCUGUAAUUGCUUUUUUUCCCUCACAGUAAUCAUACAUUUCCUUGGGUUGCAAUUCAAAGAAUUUGUGUGAUAGACUAUUAUAUAUCCUUAUUACAUUUAUAUUUGUAUACAUUUUUUGCUAUUAAUUACCCUCUAAUAUAUACACCAAACCCCUUUUUAAUGACCUUUUCAAUAUAUAACUUUUGGUCUCUCUCAUUUUUCUCAGUCUUGUUAUCAAUCUGGUUACAUAGUAGGGAAAGAAAUCAACUCAAAACAGAUGUGUCUUAAAUUAUAAGAUGGGUUUAUGUGAUUAGUUUCUUCUCAAAAUAGUGAAUGUACACUUGGGUUGUAAUCCAACAAAAAUUAGGAAGCUGGUAAUUUGGUUCCUAUGAUCCAACUUAAUUUAAGAGCAUGAAAAUUCAUUUAUUGUCCAGCUGCUUCCUUCCAAAAGAAUAUAGUUAGUGUUAAUGUUGUGAGUCUGCUUCGAGUUAGACUAAUUUUCUUUGCAUGAAAAUUUACUUUCGACUGCUACACAUGCUCAUUAAUGGGCAUAGUGCAUAUUUAAUUUUAGAUCCAGAACAAAUUGUAUGUACAUGCUUUUAAAUAAUUUUAGCCUUUUAUUUAUAUUUUUAUUUUAUGUACAUGCUUUUAAUUUUAGUCUUUUAUUUAUGUUUUUAAUAUCUUUUAUUGGAAGUAGUUAAUUGCAAUUUUGAGGAUUAUGUUUGGUACCAUGUGAGCAGUUAAGCUAUUUUGUCAACAAAUUUGAUCUUCAGUUCAAAGUGUAGUCACUAGUCCAUAAAUGUUUUAAUAGUCACUGCCAUAGUAAUUUACAGAAUAGGUUAUCGGUUUCCAGCUUAUAGUGUUAUUGAAUGAUUUCAUGCUAAAUUAUUACCCCUGAAGCUCUUACUAGAUUAUUUUGUACCCAUCAGGCAAAAAUAAAAAUUUGUACGAAAAUUUUAACUUUCAAAUUUUUAGUCUGCAAUUGAGACAUCAUAGUUGGAUGUAGUUAAAUUCUGUAUUAUGUUGCUCUUUUUGUGUUGUUGCUAUGUUUUUCUCUAAUUCUCUUUACCAUAGUUUCUUUUGCUUUAAAUAGUCAUUAGAAAUUUCUAUUUUAUCUUGUUGCGACCGACUAUAGUUAUCUCUAACCAAUUCUUGGUAUUUUCCUGGCAACUUUGUUGUAUAGUUGAUUGUUCUUGUUUUGAUGCUUACUGUAAUUAUAAUUUUCUGACCAAUUCUUGCAUUUUUCUAAUGUCAGGUAAAUCUUUGAUUAGGUACUUUAAAAGAGAAUCUCUUAAAAAUAUUGGGUUUUGUUGAUUACUGGUGAUGGAUUGACAAUGUAAAGCUUGACUGUCUUAGUGUAAGUACUUGAUUAAGUAGUAGGACUAUCAAGUUUCUAGUCUCUGAUGCUGAUGAGGAAAGGAUGUCCACUUAUUGGAAUUUUUGAUAUAACUAGAUAUAGUAGAUUAAUUAGAGUUUGUUAAUCAUACUACAUUAAUUGAGUCGCCUUUUUCAGCUACUAUCUUUGUAUCACAUUGUGUCUACUGGCAUCCUAUUUAAGGCAUACAUUUUCGUGUUAGACAAGGUUGAAGGUUUUAAUGAAGCAUUUUCUUAGGAUAUGAAUUUCAGCUUUUUGGAUUAUAUAAUUUAGUUUUGUGGUACUUAGAUUAUUUAAACAAUUGUUUAUUGCUUAGCUAGUUGGGUAUUUUGUUGAAU
rnacentral:lncRNA from 1 species